rnacentral:lncRNA from 1 species
AACGGGUACAAGUUGUAUCAAAUAAGGAAAUGAAUUACUUAUAAGACUGAUUUUGUCAUAAUAGGAGUAGUAAAAGCAUGUAGCACGUAAUAAGGACUAAGUAUAGAAUAUUUUCAACUAACGAAAGUACACGUUAAAUAACUAACAGCAUAUUGUGCACAUAAAUAGUGUAGAGUACAUUUUAAUUCUGAAAGUUAGUGCAAAGAAUCACGAAUGAGAUUGAGAAUAAUAGGGAAUCAACACUAACUAAGGAAAGUAUCGCAAAAGUAAGGAAGCAAUUCGAAAAAUCGGUACACAAUUACAAGGAAAAUACACAAAAUCACAUAUUCAGGGAAGACAUCGCAGGUCUAAGUAUAUUACACAAAAAUCAAUGUAAAUUAUCAUGUGAACAAUCG